AUCCUUAAAAACCGAAAGUUCAAGAUAAUUCUUUUUAAUUGUAUUUGUGUUUUUCUGGGUUUUUUUUAUCAGGGAUGCAUCUGUCCUUCAAGGUCAGAAGUCAAGGUUAUACCAAAGUUCAAGGUCAUUGUUUUUAAUUGUGUAUGAGUAUUACUUAAAAACGAAAGUUCAAGGUCAUUCUUUUUAAUUAUAUUUGUGUAUUUCUCUUUUUAAAUUAUGUGUUCAUUUGUUCUUUGAGGUAAGAGUUGAGGGUCAGAGUUCAAGAUAAGAGUUUAAGGUCAUACCAAAGAUCAAGGUCAUUCUUUCUAAUUGUAUUUGUUUAUUUCUCAUUUUUAAAUAAUGGAUGCAUCUAUUUUACAAGGUCAGAGUUUAAGGUCAUACCUAAGUUCAAGGUCAUUCUUUUUAAUUGUAUUUGUGUAUUUCUCUUUUGUAAUCAUGGAUGCAUCUGUU
rnacentral:lncRNA from 1 species